AAUAGAUACCCGGGUAGUCCACGCCGUAAACGAUGAGUGCUAAGUGUUGGGGGGUUUCCGCUCCUCAGUGCUGCAGCUAACGCAUUAAGCACUCCGCCUGGGGAGUACGGUCGCAAGACUGAAACUCAAAGGAAUUGACGGGGGCCCGCACAAGCGGUGGAGCAUGUGGUUUAAUUCGAAGCAACGCGAAGAACCUUGCCAGGUCUUGACAUCCCGGUGACCACUAUGGAGACAUAGUUUCCCCUUCGGGGGCAACGGUGACAGGUGGUGCAUGGUUGUCGUCAGCUCGUGUCGUGAGAUGUUGGGUUAAGUCCCGCAACGAGCGCAACCCUUAUUCUUAGUUGCCAUCAUUCAGUUGGGCACUCUAAGGAGACUGCCGGUGAUAAACCGGAGGAAGGUGGGGAUGACGUCAAAUCAUCAUGCCCCUUAUGACCUGGGCUACACACGUGCUACAAUGGACGGUACAAACGGUUGCCAACCCGCGAGGGGGAGCUAAUCCGGAUAAAACCGUUCUCAGUUCGGAUUGUAGGCUGCAACUCGCCUAC
rnacentral:rRNA from 1 species